UGGGGAAUUUUGGACAAUGGGCGCAAGCCUGAUCCAGCCAUGCCGCGUGCGGGAAGAAGGCCUUCGGGUUGUAAACCGCCUUUGUCAGGGAAGAAAUCUUCUGAGUUAAUACCUCGGGAGGAUGACGGUACCUGAAGAAUAAGCACCGGCUAACUACGUGCCAGCAGCCGCGGUAAUACGUAGGGUGCAAGCGUUAAUCGGAAUUACUGGGCGUAAAGCGUGCGCAGGCGGUUUUGUAAGACAGAGGUGAAAUCCCCGGGCUCAACCUGGGAACUGCCUUUGUGACUGCAAGGCUUGAGUGCGGCAGAGGGGGAUGGAAUUCCGCGUGUAGCAGUGAAAUGCGUAGAUAUGCGGAGGAACACCGAUGGCGAAGGCAAUCCCCUGGGCCUGCACUGACGCUCAUGCACGAAAGCGUGGGGAGCAAACAGGAUUAGAUACCCUGGUAGUCCACGCCCUAAACGAUGUCAACUGGUUGUUGGGAAGGUUCCUUCUCAGUAACGUAGCUAACGCGUGAAGUUGACCGCCUGGGGAGUACGGCCGCAAGGUUG
rnacentral:rRNA from 1 species